AACGCAACUUGCGCUCCUUGGUAUUCCAUGGAGCAUGCCUGUUUGAGUGUCACGUAAACCCUCACUCUUGCGAUGUUACAAUCGUCUUGUGGUGGAUUUGGAUUGUGCCGUAAUUGGCUCAUCCUGAAAUGCAUUAGCUUGCGCUUUUUACAGUGCUCGGCAUGGUGUGAUAAUUAUCUGCGCCGUCGCCUUAGGCCUGUUCUAUAUGUGCAGCUUCUAAUCGUCCCUUGUGGACAACUUUACUUAACGCUUUGGCCUCAAAUCAGGUAGGACUACCCGCUGAACUUAA
rnacentral:misc_RNA from 1 species